GUUAGGAAUAUUGGACAAUGGGCGCAAGCCUGAUCCAGCCAUGCCGCGUGAGUGAUGAAGGCCUUCGGGUUGUAAACUGCUUUUGUACGGAACGAAAAGACUCCUUCUAAUAAAGGGGGUCCAUGACGGUACCGUAAGAAUAAGCACCGGCUAACUACGUGCCAGCAGCCGCGGUAAUACGUAGGGUGCAAGCGUUAAUCGGAAUUACUGGGCGUAAAGCGUGCGCAGGCGGUUAUAUAAGACAGAUGUGAAAUCCCCGGGCUCAACCUGGGAACUGCGUUUGUGACUGUAUAGCUAGAGUACGGUAGAGGAGGAUGGAAUUCCGCGUGUAGCAGUGAAAUGCGUAGAUAUGCGGAGGAACACCGAUGGCGAAGGCAAUCCCCUGGACCUGUACUGACGCUCAUGCACGAAAGCGUGGGGAGCAAACAGGAUUAGAUACCCGGGUAGUCC
rnacentral:rRNA from 1 species